AUAUUUACCUGACUGAGGUGAAAACAUGAUGAUGUAGCAUUGUGGGUGGUGUAUUCAAUAUGACAUCUGUCCCUUGAACUAUGGCUGGGUGGAUCCUUGUGAUUUCCCCAAAUGCAAAAACUCAACCGGAAAAUUUGUGGUAGCGGGGCACCGCAUUUAUGCUUAUCUUCU
rnacentral:snRNA from 1 species